rnacentral:tRNA from 2 species
GCCCUUGUAGCUCAGGGGAUAGAGCGACGGUCUUCUAAACCGCAGGUCGGGAGUUCGAAUCUCUCCAAGGGCG